GGAGAGGCCACAGCACCCGGCAUGGGCAGCCGGGACUCCAACUCAGGUCUACGGCGUUCCACAUCGCACGUGGGAGUCGUAGCGAUGCUCAACUGUUUUAUAUAUAGACACUGGACUAUCCGAUGAUGAGGGGGUUAAAUUCUAUAACUUGUCUACAUUUUUCAAAUCUAAAAUCAGUGUUAGCAUAAAAAACAUUUAAACGAUCGAAAUCAAAGCAGGUAAAGGGAGUCGAAAGUUUGUAGUGAAUUUUAUACUUGUAAAUAAAUAGUUUUAACGAAAUGUCUUCUAAGAAAAUAGUGAUGUUUUGCUUGACGAACUUUAUGUAGGUAAGUAACCGUUAUUACAGCGUAAAAUAAACAAGUGUUUU